rnacentral:lncRNA from 1 species
GAAUUUAAAAACUUUGAAUACCAACCAUCAAAUUUUUAGCCGACUGCGCAAGGUACAGAUCAAUUUAGCUUCCUACUCUUAAGUCUUAACAGCAAAUAGCUUAGAAUGCAUACAUUAGACAAAGCUAGAAUCUAUGGAGAUGGAACCCAAGCAUCUCCUUUUCAUUUCUAACACCUGGGCUCCAUGGCUCUUGUGUGCAUGCAAGUCUCCGGCCUUUGCGACCGCUGAUUCACCGACUCCACGGGCCUGCAGCCAACAUGAAACCUCCGCGUCUUUCGCCGCAGCUGCAGCUUUGCGGCAAUCCUGGAUUAUUUCUGCGAGAUCUUUAUACUCCGCGGCCGCGGAGGAGCUCUUCUUUGCUAUCUCUAUGUUCCCCACCUGCACUUUCUUCUCCCUCUCCAUCGAUCGAUCGAUCGAACGAACGAUAUCCUCACCUUCUAGCUAUUUGAUGUGUUAAUGUUAGCAAGUGCUUAUCCGCUAUCUCAUUUAUACCUC